rnacentral:rRNA from 1 species
CCCAUACAAUCUUGCUAGCGCAUGCUCUAAAGAUAAAAGCUCCGGCGGUGUAAAAUGAGCGUGCGUCCUAUUAGCUAGUUGGAGAGGUAAUGGCUCACCAAGGCUACGAUGGGUAGGGGUUCUUAGUGGAAGGUCCCCCACACUGGCACUGAGAUACGGGCCAGACUCCUACGGGAGGCAGCAGUAGGGAAUAUUGGUCAAUGGGCGCAAGCCUGAACCAGCCAUGCCGAGUGCAGGAUGAAGGCUCUCUGAGUUGUAAACUGCUUUUGUACAGGAGCAAAAAAGCCCCUGCGGGGGCUCUUGAGAGUACUGUAAGAAUAAGCACCGGCUAAUUCCGUGCCAGCAGCCGCGGUAAUACGGAAGGUGCAAGCGUUAUCCGGUUUUAUUGGGUUUAAAGGGUGCGUAGGCGGCUUAUUAAGUCAGUUGUGAAAUCCUAGUGCUUAACGCUAGAACUGCGAUUGAUACUAUUAGGCUUGAGUUAAGAAGAGGUAGGCAGAAUUUAUGGUGUAGUAGUGAAAUGCUUAAAUAUCCAUAAGGAAUACCAAUAGCGUAAG